rnacentral:rRNA from 1 species
CCUACGGGAGGCAGCAGUAAGGAAUCUUCCACAAUGGACGAAAGUCUGAUGGAGCAACGCCGCGUGCAGGAUGAAGGCUUUCGGGUCGUAAACUGCUUUUAUAUGGGAAGAUUAUGACGGUACCAUAUGAAUAAGGACCGGCUAACUACGUGCCAGCAGCCGCGGUAAUACGUAGGGUCCAAGCGAUAUCCGGGAUUACUGGGCGUAAAGCGUGUGUAGGUGGAUUAAUAAGUGUGAUGCGAAAUCCGGCGGCUCAACCGUUUGGACUGUGUCGCAUACUGUUAGUCUAGAGGACGGCAGAGGUAAGUGGAAUUACGGGUGUAGCAGUGAAAUGCGUAGAUAUCCGUAGGAACACCAAUGGCGAAGGCAGCUUACUGGGCCACACCUGACACUGAGACACGAAAGCGUGGGGAGCGAACAGGAUUAGAUACCCUGGUAGUCCACGCCGUAAACGAUGCAUACUAUUAGUAUGGGGUAUCGACCCCCUGUGCUGAGAAGCUAACGCGAUAAGUAUGCCGCCUGGGGAGUACGAGCGCAAGCUUAAAACUCAAAGGAAUUGACGGCUGAGAGNGCGACGACGACGACGAGGGAGGAGG